ensembl:snoRNA U3 Small nucleolar RNA U3
AAGACUAUACUUUCAGGGAUCAUUUCUAUAGUUUGUUACUAGAUGAUGACCACCUUCAGGAAGCACAGAGUGUUGAGAUUUGGGAUACCUGGAUUACAUAGGUAAAGGUCUUAACACAGUGCU